AAAAAUGUUUUUGCUUUAUAUUGAUUAAUGAUUAUAUUUUAAUGAAUACAUUUUUUUCUAAAUCAAAAAAGUAUCAUAUUGUUUAAAUUUUGAUUAAUUAAGCCUCUAGGUAUAUGUGCCUACCCUACCUAUUCAACUUCCCACUUAUAACAGUGGCACACUUUGUCAGCAGUAUUAGUUAUUUUUUUUUCAUUAAAUUUAACAAAUUUUAAAUAAUUAAUUCACAGUUAUUUGAAAAUUAAUAUGGG